rnacentral:rRNA from 1 species
GACGUGAGGGAGCAAGCGUUGUCCGGAAUUACUGGGCGUAAAGAGCUCGGUUAGGCGGGAGCGUGCGUCUGAAAGGAAAUCUCAGGGCUCAACCUCUGGGGCUUUUUCAGAUACGGCGCUUCUUGAGUGUAACAGGAGGAAAGCAGAAUUCCCGGUGUAGCGGUGAAAUGCGUAGAUAUCGGGAGGAAUACCAGUGGCGAAGGCGGCUUUCGUGGGUU